rnacentral:rRNA from 1 species
ACGUGGGCAAUCUGCCCAGUAGACCGGAAUAACUCAAGGAACCUGAGCUAAUACCGGAUGUGCCGUACUUCCAUAAGGAGGUCCGGUAAAGAGAGCUUCGGCUAUUCGCUAUUGGAGGAGCCUGCGGAGUAUUAGGUAGUUGGUGGGUAAAGGCCUACCAAGCCGACGAUACUUAGCUGGUCUGAGAGGACGAUCAGCCACACUGGAACUGAGACACGGUCCAGACUCCUACGGGAGGCAGCAGUGGGGAAUCUUGCACAAUGGGCGACAGCCUGAUGCAGCAAUGCCGCGUGAGGGAAG